GACUUCCUCAUNCCAUGGUGGGGGGUGGAAAACNUUUUUGUGGUUUUGGAUGGACUCGCGGCCUAUCAGCUUGUUGGUGAGGUAAUGGCUUACCAAGGCGACGACGGGUAGCCGGCCUGAGAGGGUGACCGGCCACACUGGGACUGAGACACGGCCCAGACUCCUACGGGAGGCAGCAGUGGGGAAUAUUGCACAAUGGGCGCAAGCCUGAUGCAGCGACGCCGCGUGAGGGAUGACGGCCUUCGGGUUGUAAACCUCUUUCAGUAGGGAAGAAGCGAAAGUGACGGUACCUGCAGAAGAAGCGCCGGCUAACUACGUGCCAGCAGCCGCGGUAAUACGUAGGGCGCAAGCGUUAUCCGGAAUUAUUGGGCGUAAAGAGCUCGUAGGCGGUUUGUCGCGUCUGCCGUGAAAGUCCGGGGCUCAACUCCGGAUCUGCGGUGGGUACGGGCAGACUAGAGUGAUGUAGGGGAGACUGGAAUUCCUGGUGUAGCGGUGAAAUGCGCAGAUAUCAGGAGGAACACCGAUGGCGAAGGCAGGUCUCUGGGCAUUAACUGACGCUGAGGAGCGAAAGCAUGGGGAGCGAACAGGAUUAGAUACCCUGGUAGUCCAUGCCGUAAACGUUGGGCACUAGGUGUGGGGGACAUUCCACGUUUUCCGCGCCGUAUG
rnacentral:rRNA from 1 species